UCUAAUUUCUUUCAAUUUUAAUCACUCCAAUUCAAAUAUUGAUUUCAAUUAUAACCAAUAUCUAUUCAAACUCUAGCCUAUCUAAUUCAAUUCAAAAUCAUCAAGUCUCUUAAUACUAACUGUUGAUCUCGUUAUAUUUAAUCCUAAACGGUCAUCUAAAAAUAUUUCUACGGUUUAGGUUAAUUUCUAAUUUCUUUCCUAUUUGUGGCUUAAAAGACCUUAACCCUUAAAAAAAAUGUGCCUCCUCAAUUUCACUUCCUCUCCAGCCAGCAGUGAGGAGGAUGAAGCCUGCUGCUUCAGCUGCUCCGAGCAGCGACCUGCAGACUGACGAACCCCGCCCCCUCCAAACGGAGAAACCCCUUUGCCUCUCUCUUCUCUCUUGCCGGUAAGAACGACAGUAAGAGCAGUGCUGCUCCUCCUCUUUCACCUCUUGUUUCCGGCAACAACUCCAGCAGCAGCGAUUGGAGGCUGGUCCAAUAGACGAGCCGCCUCUCCCCUCUUCUCCGACCAGAAUCAUCAACUAGCAGGUCUAGCCGGCGAGCAACGACAACCAACAGCGAUAGCAGACUGCCACAGGCGAACUCCGGCAAGCCAGCUGAUUGGUAACCUUGGAACUCCGAAAAUGAUGAUGGUUAACAUUAGAUUUUACGGCGUCAAGACCAUAUAUCAGGUGAAUGCUCUAGCUGAGAAAUCUGCAAUGAGAGGUCGUAGUCGAGGUAGUGGUAGAGGAAGAGCUAAGGGUAAGGGCCGAGGAAGAGCAACACCUACUAGACAUGCGGUAUCAGUCGAAAAUUCUCCCCAAAAUCAGGUCUUUCCCAUACAUCAUAAAGAGAUAGAAGAGAAUUGUGUGGUUGAAAACGUAGAGGAGGUUUAAAAAGAGGCAGAGGUGUAGGUUGGGAAUACAAGUAUUCCUCCCAUAGACAUAAAUCAACUAAUAAUGUCACUCUUGAAAGGGUUGGUUGGUCUAGGAGUGCUUUCUUAUGCUCAAGCCAAUCAAGCUCCAAAAAAUCCUCUUAUUGCUAUCAUUGGGAGGAAAUGUAGGUAAUGAUGUUUUCUUCCAUCCUUUAUUGGGUCCUGUUAUUACUAGUAAUGACCAUAAAAUGUUGACUAAGUUUUUGAAGCUAAAUCCUCAUGUAUUUUUUUGUUUGAGAGUAAGGAUGCUUAUGAGUUUACUUUAGAUUUAUUUGAGAGGCUUCAUAAGUUAAGAAUUUUCCAUCAACAUAGGAUUGAGUUCGUUACUUUUCAGCUUCAAUGGGAGGCUAAGAGUGGUGGAAAGUUUAUAUGGAAUGCAAAUAUUCAGUUUUACCUCCACUUACUUUGACCAAAUUUCAUGCCAUGUUCAUAGAGAUAUAUGUGUCUAGGACUUUGAGAGAUCGCAUGAAGGAUGACUUUUUGCUUUUGGAGCAAGGUGUUAUGUCUGUAGCUGCUUAUGAGAUCAAGUUUCAUGCCUUGUCUAGACAUGCUAUGCAGUUGGUGACUAGUGAGGAAGAGAGGAUUUGUUCAUUUAUUAACAGACUAAAUUUUGAGUUGUAGGUAUUAUCUAUUCAUAUGAGCUCUGCACGGAGGAGCUUUAAUGCAGUAUUGGCUUUAUCUGUUCAUAUGACCUCUGCACGGGACUAAAUUUUGAGUUUCAUGUAUAUCUGUAGGACUAUCAUUCGUUUACAUACUCAACAUAAUAUUAAAAAAAUAACCAUUAAACAAACGACUAUCUAGAAAUAUCUUAUUUUCUGAUCGUUGUUUAGAGUUCAACCAUCUCUCUAGGCUGAGUUUGUGAAGACUAAGUACUACUUCAAUGUACACAGUGUGUCUAAAUCAUAUAUUUGUGGUGAUUCGCAAGCUUUGGAUUUUUUUUAGUUAAAUCUAAAGAUGAUGAAGAGCACAACAUUUCGUGGAAGACAAUUGUGGUUAUUGUAAUAUGUGGUGGUGUAAUUCGUGUGAGAAACUCUCCCUUGCAAAACUAUAUUUUAAUUGUAAGAACGGUGCUAAGAAUUCAACCAAGAUAUCGA